CGAAAUGCUUCAAAUCAAUCAUUACCUUGUUUUCCUGAUCCGAUCCUGUGUCCGCGUAAUGCAGUUUGUCAACAUUGACACUUACAACCAUUGCAGUAUGGUGCAAUUCGUUUUGUAUCAGCGGUACGCAUUUCUCUAAUUGGCAGCUUUCCUCGUCGUUUGUAAAUAACAAGUCAAGAAACCGAUUGUUUUGAUUAGGUAUUCCACAUACUUGAAGCAGAUCCAAUGCAGCCAUAUCAUCAACAAGGACGACUUCUUCCGCCGGUGCAUAAUUAACUAGCGCGUUUAUACUUGCCGUAUGAGCACAGUAACGAUCACAGCUUGAGCCAGGAGGUCGAUUCAUUAAUCACUGUGCUGGAGAAACGAUUGUUCACAGCAAUCAAUAC